rnacentral:rRNA from 1 species
GGCGGUGCGCCUUAUGCAUGCAAGUCGAGCGAAGCUUUUCAGUAGUUUACUACAGAAAAUGACUGAGCGGCGAACGGGUGAGUAACGCGUGAGCAAUCUACCUUAGUUACAGGGAUAGCCCGAGGAAACUCGGAUUAAUACCUGAUAUUCUUUAUAUUUCGCAUGAAAUUAAAAGGAAAGGUCAGCCGAACUAAGAUGAGCUCGCGUUCUAUCAGCUAGUUGGUGAGGUAAAAGCUCACCAAGGCUACGACGGAUAGCUGGUCUGAGAGGACGAUCAGCCACACUGGGACUGAGACACGGCCCAGACUCCUACGGGAGGCUGCAGCAGGGAAUAUUGCGCAAUGAGCGAAAGCUUGACGCAGCGACACCGCGUGUGGGAUGACGGAUCUAGGUUUGUAAACCACUUUCAGGAGGGAAGAAAAUGACGGUACCUC